rnacentral:rRNA from 1 species
UACGAAGGGGGCUAGCGUUGCUCGGAAUUACUGGGCGUAAAGCGCACGUAGGCGGAUUGUUAAGUCAGGGGUGAAAUCCUGGAGCUCAACUCCAGAACUGCCUUCGAUACUGGCGAUCUCGAGUUCGGGAGAGGUGAGUGGAACUGCGAGUGUAGAGGUGAAAUUCGUAGAUAUUCGCAAGAACACCAGUGGCGAAGGCGGCUCACUGGCCCGAUACUGACGCUGAGGUGCGAAAGCGUGGGGAGCAAACAGG